rnacentral:rRNA from 1 species
UACGAAGGGGGCUAGCGUUGCUCGGAAUCACUGGGCGUAAAGGGUGCGUAGGCGGGUCUUUAAGUCAGGGGUGAAAUCCUGGAGCUCAACUCCAGAACUGCCUUUGAUACUGAAGAUCUUGAGUUCGGGAGAGGUGAGUGGAACUGCGAGUGUAGAGGUGAAAUUCGUAGAUAUUCGCAAGAACACCAGUGGCGAAGGCGGCUUACUGGUCCAUAACUGACGCUGAGGUGCGAAAGCGUGGGGAGCAAACAGG